UGCGUAUAAAUGGGGGUGCCUGGGUGGCUUAGUCGGUUGAGCAUCUGAUUUCCGCGCAGGUCGUGAUCUCGUGGUUUGUGGGUUCGAGCCCCACAUCGGGCUCUGUGCUGACAGGGCGGAGCCUGCUUAGGAUUCUCUGUCUGUCUGUCUCUCUCUCUCUCUCUCUCUCUCUCUCUUUCUCUCUGCCCCUCCCCGACUUGUACUCUCUCUCUUUCUCAAAAAUAAACAUUAAAAAAAAAUUUAAAAACGAUUAUAAAUGGAGAAUAACGUUUCUGAUUCUGAGCUUUUCCUUUAAAGGCGGCUAUAAGAAGAAUAAGCAGCAACGGGUUGAAUGUGCCAUGUGGAUGUGCUCAUGGGCGUAUCCCUUUUACCCACAGAGCAGGCAGGCGGGGGAGAGAGGCAGGGGAUGGUGUGGGAAGGUGCACAGAAGCCUCUGUAGACAGGUGAAUGAAGAGUAGCAAAGGCAGCCCUCUUGAGGGAAUCGUGAGGAUAAUUCUGGCCCUGGAGUUCUAGCUUCCGCCAUCUUUUCCACGUCCCCAGAGGGCCCUGCCUUCUGGUUUCUCAGACAGUUAUACCCUCUUGUUUUUUCCAGCAGGUUCCAUAUCUUGUAUGUAGGGAAGGAGAUGUGAGCUUGGUUAGUACACUCGAUGGAUGUGCCAUUUUUCCUUUUUGGGUAGAAAGUGCAGUUCUUAUUUUCUGGGUUGAGAUAAGAAACAUUGGUAAUUUUUGUGUAAGUGUGAUAAGGCACUUAUCCAUAAAACUGGGACUGUUUUUUUUUUUUUUUUUUUGCUGGUAUUUUUGCAAGUCAUAGCCCCUCAAAAAUUGCCAAGGCCUUGACAUGCUAUAAUGAUCUCCUCGUGGUCAAUUCCAUCUUCAAAUAUACUGGUCCCUUGUAUUCUUUGUUGGGUCUCUUUGAUUUUUUAAAGCAACUGUAGCAGAAAUAUGAUUUGAAAGGCCAAACCCAAGUAAAGACUAGGCUUUUCUUUUUUCUUUUUCUCUUCUCACCUGGCUUUCUAGACCUUGAUGAGAGGUACUUACAUGAAGCCCACCCCUAGCUUCGAUGUUGGAACCAUUUCAUUUUCCUGACUAAAAGACAAUAUGUAUUUUAAUCAUAUAUAGUAUUUUAUUUGCAAGAUAUUGAACAAUUGUCAGUAUUAUGGGAAUACACCGCUUUCGGCAUAAAUGUUUCUCUGGCAAACAGGCUCCACUCUCUGCCCCCCUUUUUCUUCUUUGGUUUUUGUAGGGCUAAUGUCGGUGUAGGUGGUGAUGUCUGCUCAAAUAUUAUAAUCAUAGUUAAUAUAGUAAACGAGGGGGUGCCUCACCUUUAAUUUCUUCUCAGUUGCGAAUGUUAGGUCUAUCCAGUUAACCUUCAUGUGUAACAUUUCUAGCACGCCCCCCCCCCCCCCCCCCCCCAGCGUGUAUGUAUAUCCUGAGAGCCCUGGUUACGCUCGGCUACAGUUGGAGUGGAAAGGAAAAGUGAAGACUUUCAGCAAAGUAGGACCUGAAUCCUCAGGUUAAUUUUUACCAGAAAAAAAAGAUAGAGAUUAUGGGCAAUUAGUGGCUUUUGUUCUUAUUGUUCUGAUGUUACUGCUUUUGUUCUGUUAAAAUGAAACUGAACUUAUUUUAUCUUUGAAUUAAAUUUUCUUUCUUUUUGGAAAGAAUUUCUAGAAUGAUGAGGAUGAGAAAAAGUGGUUUUUCAUAGGAGGAGAGAAGUUUUUCUUUUUUAUUGAACAGGCAGAUUAAUAUAAAUUUCAAAGGAGAAAUAGCAAAAAAAAAAUCACUUUAAAUCAAGAUAAUAAUUUUUUAGUAAUUGAUCUGAGGCAAUCGUCCUGUUGGUAGUUGAGAAGAUACUUAGGAACGUUUGUUUCUACGGCUUGAAUGUGGGUCUGGUUAUUAGUGGAUUAGAACCCACUGAAUAAAAAAAAUAUCAGUAGUCCAUACUGACCUGAAUAAAUAAAUGAAUAAUAAAUGGGAGAGAAGGGACUGAUCUUUCUUUGUUUUUUUUUAAAUUAAUUAAUUUUUAAGUUUACAUCCAAGUUAGUUAGUAUAUAGUGCAACAAUGGUUUCAGGAAUAGAUUCCCUAGUGCCCCUUACCCAUUCAGCCCAUCACCCCGGCCAUAACCCCUCCAGCAACCCUCUUUGUUCUCUAUAUUUAAGAGUCUCUUAUGUUUUGUCCCCCUCCCUGUUUUUACAUUAUUUUUCUUUCCCUUUCCUUGUGUUCAUCUGCUUUGUAUAUUAGAUUCCUCAUAUGAGGGAAAUCAUAUGAUAUGUCUUUCUCCAAUUUCGCUCAGCAUAAUGCCCUCCGGUUCCAACCACGUAGUUGCAGAUGGCAAGAUUUCAUUCUUUUUGAUUGCUGAGUAAUACUCCAGUGUGUGUGUGUGUGUGUGCCCACGUGCGCACGCGUGUAUAUGUGUACACACACACACACCACAUCUUCUUUAUCCAUUCAUCUAUUGAUGGACAUUUGGGCUCUUUCCAUACUUUGGCUAUUGUCGAUAGUGCUGCUGUAAACAUUGGGGUGCAUGUGUCCCUCAGAAACAGCACACCUGUAUCCCUUGGAUAAAUACCUACUGGUGGGUCGUUUUUUGAGGAACCUCCGUACUGUUUUCCAGAGUGGCUGCACCAGCUUGCAUUCCUACCAACAAUGCAAAA